rfam:Paracoccidioides brasiliensis Pb18 unplaced genomic scaffold supercont2.12, whole genome shotgun sequence.
GGCCGGCUGGCGUAAUGGCUAACGCAUCCGUUUCCGGUUAGCAUAUCCUGUCUGCGGAAGAUUGCAGGUUCGAGUCCUGCGUCGGUCG